GACGAACGCUGGCGGCGUGCUUAACACAUGCAAGUCGAACGGAGUGGCGAACGGGUGAGUAACACGUGGGUGACCUUCCCUGCACUUCGGGAUAAGCCUGGGAAACUGGGUCUAAUACCGGCAAGUGUGGGAUGGGCCCGCGGCCUAUCAGCUUGUUGGUGGGGUAAUGGCCUACCAAGGCGGCGACGGGUAGCCGGCCUGGGAGGGGGGACGGCCACAUUGGGACUGAGGGACGGACCAGACGCCUACGGGGGGCAGUGGUGGGGAAUAUUGCACAAUGGGCGGAAGCCUGAGGCAGCGACGCCGGGUUGGGAAUGACGUCCUUCGGGUUGUAAACUCCUUUCACCAUCGACGCGGUAGAUGGAGAAGAAGCACCGGCUAACUACGUGCCAGCAGCCGCGGUAAUAC
rnacentral:rRNA from 1 species